AGGCGGAGGAGUUCUACGUGUGCAUCUAUGCUACCCGGGAAGGAGACUACGUCCUGUUCCACCAUGAAGGGGGUGUGGAUGUGGGCGAUGUGGACACCAAAGCCCAGAAGCUGCUUGUGGGUGUGGACGAGAAACUGAACGCUGAAGACAUUAAGAGACACCUGUUGGUCCACGCCCCCGAAGACAAGAAAGAAAUCCUGGCCAGCUUCAUCUCCGGCCUAUUCAAUUUCUACGAAGAUCUUUACUUCACCUACCUUGAGAUCAACCCCCUUGGUAACAUGCUUUGUUUGCUGGGACAGGAUGGGGAUGGGAUGCUGCCCCCAUGCCUACAGUAACUCUGGCCCUGGUGCCAGAAGGCAGUACAAAACUUCUAUGGGUACCCAGGGUGUCCC
rnacentral:lncRNA from 1 species